rnacentral:rRNA from 1 species
GACGGGGGGGGCAAGCGUUGUUCGGAAUUAUUGGGCGUAAAGAGCUCGUAGGCGGUUGGGUAAGUCGGGUGUGAAAACUCCGGGCUCAACUCGGAGACGCCACCCGAUACUGCUCUGACUUGAGUCCGGUAGGGGAGUGGGGAAUUCCUGGUGUAGCGGUGAAAUGCGCAGAUAUCAGGAGGAACACCGGUGGCGAAGGCGCCACUCUGGGCCGGAACUGACGCUGAGGAGCGAAAGCGUGGGUAGCGAACAGG